rnacentral:rRNA from 1 species
AGCGAACGCUGGCGGCAGGCCUAACACAUGCAAGUCGAACGAACCUUUCGGGGUUAGUGGCGGACGGGUGAGUAACACGUGGGAACGUGCCUUUAGGUUCGGAAUAACUCAGGGAAACUUGUGCUAAUACCGAAUGUGCCCUUCGGGGGAAAGAUUUAUCGCCUUUAGAGCGGCCCGCGUCUGAUUAGCUAGUUGGUUGAGGUAAUGGCUCACCAAGGCGACGAUCAGUAGCUGGUCUGAGAGGAUGAUCAGCCACAUUGGGACUGAGACACGGCCCAAACUCCUACGGGAGGCAGCAGUGGGGAAUCUUGCGCAAUGGGCGAAAGCCAGACGCAGCCAUGCCGCGUGAAUGAUGAAGGUCUUAGGAUUGUAAAAUUCUUUCACCGGGGACGAUAAUGACGGUACCCGGAGAAGAAGCCCCGGCUAACUUCGUG